AACUGCAGUCCAGCUAUAUGCAAGGUCAGCCCACAUGGUCUUUGUAUCGUUUCACAACUGCACAAGUAUUAAUCGCUACUGACAAUAUACACGUUUGGCUUUAAUAGUUUUUGUCUGCAUUUGGGGCUUAUAUUUGUUGUAGCAACAUUUUUAU
rnacentral:snoRNA from 1 species